UAGGGAAUCUUCGGCAAUGGGGGCAACCCUGACCGAGCAACGCCGCGUGAGUGAAGAAGGUUUUCGGAUCGUAAAGCUCUGUUGUAAGAGAAGAACGUGUGUGAGAGUGGAAAGUUCACACAGUGACGGUAACUUACCAGAAAGGGACGGCUAACUACGUGCCAGCAGCCGCGGUAAUACGUAGGUCCCGAGCGUUGUCCGGAUUUAUUGGGCGUAAAGCGAGCGCAGGCGGUUUAAUAAGUCUGAAGUUAAAGGCAGUGGCUUAACCAUUGUUCGAUUUGGAAACUGUUAAACUUGAGUGCAGAAGGGGAGAGUGGAAUUCCAUGUGUAGCGGUGAAAUGCGUAGAUAUAUGGAGGAACGCCGGUGGCGAAAGCGGCUCUCUGGUCUGUGACUGACGCUGAGGCUCGAAAGCGUGGGGAGCAAACAGG
rnacentral:rRNA from 1 species